GGAGGAGUGCGAGAGUGGUUGAAUCGGGCGCUCUCGAAAAGCGCUAUGCCUAUAUGGCAUCAAGGGUUCGAAUCCCUUCUCCUCCGCCA
rnacentral:tRNA from 2 species